UGAAUACUCCCUCCAUCUCCAAAUUCUUGUCUUAGAUUUGUCUAGAUACGGAUGUAUCAAGUCACAUUUUAGUAUUAGAUACAUCCGUAUCUAGACAAAUCUAAGACUUCUUUCAAAAAAGACAAAUCUAAGACAAGAAUUUUGGGACAGAGGGAGUAUAUC
rnacentral:pre_miRNA from 1 species